rnacentral:lncRNA from 1 species
UAGAGGAUGGAAAAUACAUGACAGAAUGGACUUCAGAAGUAACAGAGGAAGUCCUUGCUUCUAGAGCUGUCACUGAAGGCAGCAUAUGGCUCUCCUGCAGUCGGGGAAGGAUCCCACAGUGUGACCUAGCUAGCCUCCACACCUCUGAUUCCUGUUACCCCUGCACAGAGGUUACCACUUUCAGCUAGGAGGCUCUGUGCAGCGCCCAUUCCCCGGAGUGCUUAUCUGGCCAUGAGCUGUGAUUGUGUACAUCUGCAGUCAGUCAGUGCUUGGUCUUGAGGAUGAAGACAAAAUCAAAAGACAGCAAGUACGCACAUUUGUGAACAAAUUUUGCCAAGGAUGAAGCACAGAAAGUGUAAAAUUUCAUCAAAAAUCUCUGAUGAGUACCUUGAGACCUCAAGAGUUGCCACCACUGCCAUCACAGCAGACUGACACAUUAGCUUCACAAAAACAAAGCCAA